rnacentral:rRNA from 1 species
GUGGGGAAUAUUGGACAAUGGGCGAAAGCCUGAUCCAGCCAUGCCGCGUGUGUGAAGAAGGUCUUCGGAUUGUAAAGCACUUUAAGUUGGGAGGAAGGGUAGUAACCUAAUACGUUGCUACUUUGACGUUACCGACAGAAUAAGCACCGGCUAACUUCGUGCCAGCAGCCGCGGUAAUACGAAGGGUGCAAGCGUUAAUCGGAAUUACUUGGCGUAAAGCGCGCGUAGGUGGUUCAGUAAGUUGGAAGUGAAAUCCCCGGGCUCAACCUGGGAACUGCUUUCAAAACUGCUGAGCUAGAGUACGGUAGAGGGUGGUGGAAUUUCCUGUGUAGCGGUGAAAUGCGUAGAGAUAGGAAGGAACACCAGUGGCGAAGGCGACCACCUGGACUGAUACUGACACUGAGGUGCGAAAGCGAGGGGAGCAAAAGGGAUUAGAUACCCGGGUAGUCC